GAUGAACGCUAGCGGCAGGCUUAAUACAUGCAAGUCGAGGGGUAGCAAGAUUGUAGCAAUACAAUUGUUGACGACCGGCAAACGGGUGCGGAACACGUACACACCUUCCUACAAGUGGGGAAUAGCCCAGAGAAAUUUGGAUUAAUACCCCGUAACAUAGCGAUGUGGCAUCACAUUGCUAUUAUAGCUUCGGCGCUUGUUGAUGGGUGUGCGGCUGAUUAGAUAGUUGGCGGGGUAACGGCCCACCAAGUCUACGAUCAGUAGCUGAUGUGAGAGCAUGAUCAGCCACACGGGCACUGAGACACGGGCCCGACUCCUACGGGAGGCAGCAGUAAGGAAUAUUGGACGAUGGACGCAAGUCUGAUCCAGCCAUGCCGCGUGAAGGAUUAGGGUCCUCUGGAUUGUAAACUUCUUUUACAAGGGACGAAAAAAGGUCUUUCUAGAUCGUCUGACGGUACCUUAUGAAUAAGCACCGGCUAACUCCGUGCCAGCCGCCGCAGUAACAC
rnacentral:rRNA from 1 species